GAUCAACGCUGGCGGCGUGCUUAACACAUGCAAGUCGAACGAAGUUUUUCUUUCGGGAGGAACUUAGUGGCGGACGGGUGAGUAACGCGUGGGUAACCUGCCCUGUACAGGGGGACAACAGCUGGAAACGGCUGCUAAUACCGCAUAAGCCCUUAGCACUGCAUGGUGCAUAGGGAAAAGGAGCAAUCCGGUACAGGAUGGACCCGCGUCUGAUUAGCCAGUUGGCAGGGUAACGGCCUACCAAAGCGACGAUCAGUAGCCGAUCUGAGAGGAUGUACGGCCACAUUGGGACUGAGACACGGCCCAGAAUCCUACGGGAGGCAGCAGUGGGGAAUAUUGCACAAUGGAGGAAACUCUGAUGCAGCGACGCCGCGUGAGUGAAGAAGUAUUUCGGUAUGUAAAGCUCUAUCAGCAGGAAAGAAAAUGACGGUACCUGACUAAGAAGCACCGGCUAAAUACGUG
rnacentral:rRNA from 1 species